GUCGACGAACCCGACCUUCGGGUCAUAUGGGUGAGUGGCGAACGGGUGAGUAACACGUGAGAAACCCACCCCGAAGUUUGGAAUAACUCAGGGAAACUUGAGCUAAUACCAAAUGCCCUCUCUGGAUCGAAUGGUCUGUUGAGGAAAGAUUUAUCGCUUCGGGACGGUCUCGCGGCCUAUCAGCUUGUUGGUGAGGUAACGGCUCACCAAGGCAUCGACGGGUAGCUAGUCUGAGAGGACGAAUAGCCACACUGGGACUGAGACACGGCCCAGACUUCUACGGAAGGCAGCAGUGGGGAAUCUUGCACAAUGGGCGAAAGCCUGAUGCAGCGACGCCGCGUGGGGGAUGAAGGCCCUAGGGUCGUAAACCCCUUUCAGUGGGGACGAAACUGACGGUACCCACAGAAGAAGGUCCGGCCAACUACGUGCCAGCAGCCGCGGUAAGACGUAGGGACCGAGCGUUGUCCGGAUUUAUUGGGCGUAAAGAGCUCGUAGGCGGUUGCGUAAGUCGGAUGUGAAAGCUCGAGGCUCAACCUCGAGAUGCCAUCCGAUACUGCGCUGACUUGAAUCCAGUAGGGGAGUGUGGAAUUUGUUGUGUAGCGGUGAAAUGCGCAGAUAUAACAAGGAACACCUAUGGCGAAGGCAGCACUCUGGGCUGGUAUUGACGCUGAGGAGCGAAAGCAUGGGUAGCAAACAGGAUUAGAUACCCUGGUAGUCCAUGCCGUAAACGGUGGGCACUAGGUGUGGGGACUUUCAACGGUUUCCGUGCCGAAGCUAACGCAUUAAGUGCCCCGCCUGGGGAGUACGGCCGCAAGGCUAAAACUCAAAGGAAUUG
rnacentral:rRNA from 1 species